AGAAUCAACGCUGGCGGCGUGCCUAACACAUGCAAGUCGAACGAGAAAGUGGAGCAAUCCAUGAGUAAAGUGGCGCACGGGUGAGUAACACGUGACUAACCUACCCUUGAGUGGGGAAUAACUGAGGGAAACCUUCGCUAAUACCGCAUAACACCUACGGGUCAAAGGAGCAAUUCGCUUAAGGAGGGGGUCGCGGCAGAUUAGCUAGUUGGCGGGUAAUGGCCCACAAGGCAGUGAUCUGUA
rnacentral:rRNA from 1 species